rnacentral:sRNA from 1 species
GCUGGUAUUUCAUCAGUUGGUUACGGUCUGCUUGCCAGAGAACUAGAAAGAGUCGACAGUAGCUAUAGAUCAGCCAUGAGCGUUCAGUCUAGUCUUGUGAUGUGGCCUAUAUAUGCAUAUGGAACAGAA